rnacentral:lncRNA from 1 species
CCAAACAAGCCCAAGGCUGAGCAGGAAAAAAUCACUGACACUAAGCCAGCAGGAAGAAACCCUAACCAUGAACCUCUUCUAUAACAGACUUUGAGUGUGACCUCCUCUGCUUCCCCUCAAGGGCUGUUGUUUGAGGAAGACUGAAGCUGCUCGCAGGAGAAUCCAGAAGGGCAUUGCAAAGGUGACCUUAGUACCAACAAAAAGAGUAAGACUUAAAGAUGGACAGUGAAUGUGGAAGAUAGAAAAAUCUGAACAAGAUGAAAGAAGACAGGAGCCUUGAAAAAAACCCAGUCUGUCACAUAUCAGGUUCGUAUCUUGAAGAAUCAGAUUGAAUACAUCGAUGAGUAAAUCUUAUGACUCCCUUGGAACAGAGAAGGGGCACAACAUCUGGACAUCAGUAGCAGACAGACUGCCUGUUGUCCUGAUCCAGCUGCUUUCUUCUGGCUCAGCCUGAAAACUCAGGAGAGAGCACAAGUAGGGAUUAAUGAGCUGUUUUCAGGGAAAGCAAAUGCUCCAGGGAAGGUAAGUGACUGGGUAAGCAACAACACCAUAGUGUAAGUACAAACUUACACUGGCAGUGGAAAUAGAAUGCAAAGUUUCUAGACAAUGUUAAAAUGAUUAUAUAAGAGCAAACCUUUAUUUGAAGCUUUCAGGUACAAAAUAUGGCAAAAACCACACCUCAA